rnacentral:rRNA from 1 species
UACGUAGGGGCAAGCGUUAUCCGGAUUUACUGGGUGUAAAGGGAGCGUAGACGGAAGAUCAAGUCAGGUGUGAAAGGCAUGGGCUCAACCCGUGGACUGCACUUGAAACUGGUCAUCUCGAGUGUCGGAGGGGCAGGCGGAAUUCCUGGUGUAGCGGUGAAAUGCGUAGAUAUCAGGAAGAACACCGGUGGCGAAGGCGGCCUGCUGGACGAUUACUGACGUUGAGGCUCGAAGGCGUGGGGAGCAAACAGGAUUAGAUACCCUGGUA